CCUACGGGAGGCAGCAGUGGGGAAUAUUGCACAAUGGGGGAAACCCUGAUGCAGCGACGCCGCGUGAGUGAAGAAGUAUCUCGGUACGUAAAGCCCUAUCAGCCGGGAAGAAAAUGACGGUACCUGACUAAGAAGCCCCGGCUAACUACGUGCCAGCAGCCGCGGUAAUACGUAGGGGGCAAGCGUUAUCCGGAUUUACUGGGUGUAAAGGGAGCGUAGACGGCAGCACAAGUCUGGAGUGAAAUCCCGGGGCUUAACCCCGGAACUGCUGUGGACACUGUGCGGCUGGAGUGCAGGAGGGGUAAGCGGAAUGCCUAGUGUAGCGGUGAAAUGCGUAGAUAUGAGGAGGAACACCGGUGGCGAAGGCGGCUUACUGGACUGUAACUGACGUUGAGGCUCGAAAGCGUGGGGAGCAAACAGGAUUAGAUACCCCAGUAGUC
rnacentral:rRNA from 1 species